rnacentral:rRNA from 1 species
UACGUAGGGUGCAAGCGUUGUCCGGAAUUAUUGGGCGUAAAGAGCGUGUAGGCGGCCUCGUAAGUCCGCUGUGAAAGUCCAGGGCUCAACCCUGGAAAGCCGGUGGAUACUGCGAGGCUAGAGUCCGGAAGAGGAGAGUGGAAUUCCCGGUGUAGCGGUGAAAUGCGCAGAUAUCGGGAAGAACACCCGUGGCGAAGGCGGCUCUCUGGGACGGUACUGACGCUGAGACGCGAAAGCGUGGGGAGCGAACAGG